AUAGAAGCUUCAAUAAGUAAUACGUUUAUAAUUUCUAACUUUAUCACACAUAAGUAUUGUAAUUGCGGAACUAUCUAAAAAUUUAAAAUUUCCUUCAAUACAACUAAACAAAAUUAAUCAAGGUUUCAUUCUCAACAUUUCCUCUAAAUGUCAGUUGGCAAAGAGUCACCAGAUACUGGAAGAUUUGUAACCUGAAAAAAAAAAUAUUAAUGCAAUGAUGAGCGCCUAAACUCAAUGAAUAGGUUAAUUCAUAUACAUUCAUAUCACACAUAUCAUGUUCAUGGAUAGAUGCAUGAUCAAGUUAAGGUGUUUCAGGUCCAGGAUGUUACAACACUUUGUCGUACAAGCUAAUUGUAAUACUACUUUUAAUGUAUUUAAUUUUAUUUUUACAUAAUGAAGUGGUCUCAAACUGAAUUGAUAAUAGUAAUCAUUUUGGCUACAGUAUCAAUAUUACUUAUUGUCACUACCCAUGACCUUAGGCCGGACCAGCACUAUGACCUGGGUAGGCUUAAAGCCACCAAAGGCUGUAGUAAGCCUAAAAAUAUACUAAACAAACUUCCUGUUCAAUAGAAAUGGCCUCAAGCCCAAUAUCAUCAACAUUCAUAUAUCAUAAGUCUUGGGCUUGUUUGGCCCGUAUCAUCAUACUCAGUAACAAAUCAAUUUUCAAAUUUCUCUAGAGUCAUAUCAAUAUAUUACAUAAUAAAAGCCUCAAUAAGUAAUACGUUUAUAAUUUUUAACUUUAUCAUACAUAACUAUCGUAAUUGCGGAACAAUCUAAGAAUUUAAAAUUUCCUUUAAUACACUAAACAAAAUUAAUCAAGGUUUCAUUCUCAACAUUUCCUUUAGAUGUCAGGUGGCAAAGAGUCACAAGAUACUGAAAAACUUGUAAACUGAAAAAA
rnacentral:lncRNA from 1 species